rnacentral:lncRNA from 1 species
UUUUUUUACCAUAAUCCAUUUUAUCCAAUACUCAACACAAAUCAUAUCCAAUUUAGUUUAUCCGUUUAAAACCAAUUGCCAUUAUCCAAUCAUACCCAUAUCCAUUUGUACAAAAACCAAAAUUCUGCAUUUUCAUAAACAAAAAUUCUGCAUUUAAACUCUUAACAAAAUUCUGCAUUUAAACUCUUAACAAAAUUCUGCAUUAAACUUUUAACAAAAUUCUGCAUUGAAACAAAAUUCUGCACUAAAAAACUCUGCAUUGCAUUUUCAAAUUCUGCAUAAAAUUCUGCAUUGCAUUUAACAGCAACACAUCCAAAAUUCUGCAUAAAACAGCAUUAAAAUUCUGCAUCAUCAAAAUUCAGCAUUACAAAAAUUCUUUUCUGCAUAAAAUUCUGCAUAAAAUUCUGCAUCAUAAAAUUCAGCAUCAAAAUUCUGCAUCAAGUACAACCAAAAUCCUGCAUUAAAAUCAAAACAAAAUUCUGCAUAAAAUCAAAAUUAAUUUCCUGCAUAAUGAAAUAACAGAAAUCUUCAUUCUUGUAUGAGUAUAAAUAGUGCAAAGUCAUAACAGAAAGGAGAGAGGAUCCAUAACAGAAAAAUAACAGAAAUUGGAGGAAGCUUUUUCAUCCUCUAACCUCUCGUUUCUUCGUCCUCCAUCUUCUUCCAUUCCUCCACCAUCACAAACUCUUCCAAUCCUUCAACCACCGUAACCGUUUUUUAAUUCACCAUCACCUUCAUCAAAAUCUCCAAAACUCCAUAACCAACCAUCUCUCUAACCUUACUCUCCUAUAAGAACCAUCCUCCAUCUUCAAUCCAAGUUUCUUCCAUCAUCUUUCCCAUAAUUCAACAAUUCACCAGUUUCUUCUACCACCGCCAUCACCAUUCAACCAAAGUUUCUUCACCCUAACCAAACCUGCAACCUUCCAUGCACGCGAACCUCCAUACAUCCCCUACACAACCUUCUCUACAUUCUUCCAACCUAAGCAAACCUCUAACCAACCUCUAACAGAAAACCCCACAACCCCNUGGUCGCGAGACCACGUCUUUUCCAGGUUUACUCUGAGCGUUUCCUUUCCCUCUUUUGGGAUAAAUAACGCACGGUGGCGGCUCUGUUGUUCUUGUUUUCCCGCCGAUUUUUCGCGUAAUGCGAC